rnacentral:rRNA from 1 species
UGGGGAAUAUUACACAAUGGAGGAAACUCUGAUGUAGCAACGCCGCGUGGAGGAUGACACAUUUCGGUGCGUAAACUCCUUUUAUAUGGGAAGAUAAUGACGGUACCAUAUGAAUAAGCACCGGCUAACUCCGUGCCAGCAGCCGCGGUAAUACGGAGGGUGCAAGCGUUACUCGGAAUCACUGGGCGUAAAGCGCGCGCAGGCGGCUUUGUAAGUUGGAUGUGAAAUCCUAUGGCUUAACCAUAGAACUGCAUCCAAAACUACUUAGCUAGAGUCUGGGAGGGGAAGAUGGAAUUAGUGGUGUAGGGGUAAAAUCCGUAGAGAUCACUAGGAAUACCAAAAGCGAAGGCGAUCUUCUGGAACAGUACUGACGCUGAGGCGCGAAAGCGUGGGGAGCAAACA